rnacentral:rRNA from 1 species
CGCGUAGGCGGACCUUCAAGUCGGAUGUGAAAACUGGUGGCUUAACUGCCAGCCUGCAUUCGAUACUGUCGGUCUUGAGUACAGAAGGGGAAAGUGGAAUUCCAGGUGUAGCGGUGAAAUGCGUAGAUAUCUGGAAGAACACCAGUAGCGAAGGCGACUUUCUGGUCUGAUACUGACGCUAAAGCGCGAAGGCUAGGGUAGCAAACA